AUCCAUCGUUUCACAGAGAAAGAAGCUGAGGUUCAGAGGAGAAUCUUGGAGAAGUUGCUGUUCCAGGUCUUGCAAGAUUGAAAACCUAAUCAUUGGUUCAAGUAAUUCUCCUGUCUCAGCCUCCCAAGUAACUGGGAUUACAGACACGUGCCACCACACCCGGCUAAUUUUUGUAUUUUUAGUAGAGAUGGAGUUUCACCAUUUUGGCCAGGCUUGUCUCAAACUCAUGAAUCAAGUGAUCUGCCCGCCUUGGCCUCCCAAAGUGCUGGGAUUACAGGCAUGAGCCACCAUGCCUUCUAUUACAAAGAAAACCAAAUGAGCCAAAAUGCUGCUUGCUAAAUCCAACUGAGUAAUGAUUCCCCAUGAGAGGAUCAGUCAUUUUAACUGGGUGUGAAGAAGACUUCCCCAGUCAGAUGCACCACGAAGACGCUAGAAGGUGUGCAGAGGACAAACACCUUUCCUCCUUCCCAGCUGCCCUUGCGUUGAACCCAUCCCUAGUUUCAUUCGCCACCAUCAAAACUCUGGACUACGCAAAGAACUGGCCAUCCUAUGCAGUACACCUCCUUUCCAUUCCCUUUUAAUGGAGCAGUCUGGCUCCCCCAGGCCAGGGACAAAAGGACCAGGCCAGUGGCUGCUGGACAUCCUACCUGAAGGGAGCAUCACCCUCAUUCUCAGAAACAACCUAACACAGCAGGCAAACCAUCUAUAUAGUGCACUGUGCUCACUGGCAUGGGGACACAGCACAGGAGUCCUUCCAAUCCUGCCCCAGGUGGGGAUGCCCCUCUGGUCUACCUCAUCCCCAAGGAACUGGUGGGACCACUUUUCCCUUGAAGGCCUAGUCUGUCCACUCUGAAACCCACCACCUGAGGGUCUGGUCUCUGCUCACCAUUUCAACAACAGCCUCAUCUAGCCCCUGAUGCAGGCUAACUUGAAAUGCCCUCCUACUGAGGGACUGGCAGUGUCUCAAGUUCCCAGCCUACCCUGUCCCAGGGCAUUUAUAGUAGAGGAGGGGCAAUGCAGGGAGGAUCCUAUCUUGAAUCUCCUCCCUCCUCUCCAGUACCUUGAUUGCCCCUUAGGUAUUCCAAUGUGUCUCUUCCGCGCAUCCCACCCCAACCCCACCGUGUUCCUAAUAGGAGAGCUGCUCUUGGAUUCUAAAAUAUCAUUGUGAGGGGCUGGGUCUUCUUUGUCUGUGCUUUCCCAGAACUAGCAUGAAGACUGUCAAAGAGCAGAUGUUCAAUUCAUGUUUGGUGAAUGACAUAAUUCAGAUGUUUGUCCCUUCUAAAUGUCAUGUUGAGAUAUAAUUCCCAGUGUUGGAGGUAAGGCCUGGUGGGAGGUGUUUGGACCAUCAAGGAGGGUCCCUCAUGGCAUGGUGCUGCCCUGGCCAUAGUGAGCGACUUCCCCUAUCUCUGGUCAUUUGAAAGCAUGUGGCACCUCCCACCCCCGCUCUGCUUGGCUGUCUUUCCUCCCACUGUUGCCACGUGACAUGCCUGCACCACCUUCCCCUCCUGGCAUGAGGAAAAGCUCCCCAAGACCUCCCCAGAAGCAGUUGCUGGUGCCACGCUCAUAGCCUGGUGAACUGUGAGCAAGUCAACCUCUUUUCUUUAGCAAUUACCCAGUCUCAGGUAUGCCUUUAGAGCAACACAAGAACUGCCUAGCACAAGGAACAAAAGAGCCAGUGAGCAAGUGUUCUCCUUUAUGAUGAUUUAAUUUCUCCAACAUUCUUGAAUACACAUAGCAACUGUGAGUAUAUAGCUUUUCAUUUUAUCACAACAAAAGACUUAAAGAAAUAAGAUUUUUAAACGUCAAAGGUUGCCAAUCAAUCGACACUUUUUUCCCACCAUCUUGUGAUCCCAACUGAUGCAGUGUUCAGUUGUUUCACAGUUUAAAGCCAAUCGCUAUUCCAAUGCUAUUUCUUCUUGCACUAGAUCAUAAUCUAGUAAGUAAAAAUUUCCAAUUUGUUUUACAAAAUACAAGAACAUCACUCUUCAAUGUGAUAAACAGCAAUAAUUGUGUGAGGCACCUAAUUCAUGAACUUAGAUUCUGAAUCAAAGUCAAUCUCUUUCAAAGGAACACGCGGUAGACACAGAAGAGAAAGAGGAAUCUAUAAGUGGCUUGCAAAUAACCAGAACAAAAGAAAGACACGUCUUGGGCUCCCCACCUCACCCCCAAAUACUGAGAUGGUGGACAGGCUUUUCAAUCUCUUAGUGAGGAUUGCCUGAGACUUCACUA
rnacentral:lncRNA from 10 species